rnacentral:rRNA from 1 species
AGAAUCAACGCUGGCGGCGUGCCUAACACAUGCAAGUCGAACGAGAAAGUGGAGCAAUCCAUGAGUAAAGUGGCGACCGGGUGAGUAACACGUGACUAACCUACCUUCGAGUGGGGGAUAACCUCGGGAAACCGAGGCUAAUACCGCAUAACAUCGCAAGAUCAAAGCAGCAAUGCGCUGGAAGAGGGGAUCGCGGCUGAUUAGCUAGUUGGCGGGUAACGGCCCACCAAGGCGAAGAUCGGUA